UUAGAUGAAAUAUAUAUUUAAGUUGACUCCAACAACUCCCAAUUCCCAAAAGAAAUUAAUCAGGCAAUAUUUUUUGUCAAAUAAUUUUAUUAAGCAAGCUGUCAAUAACUAACCAAAUCAUAUAUUUGUAAAUAUUAUAAAGUGAGCGAUUAUAGGGAUGAUUGUAGAUAAUGGUAAAUCAUGCCAAUUAAUCAAGCAUAUUUCUACCAUCGUAAGUUUCUUACCUCUCUCUUUCCGUUAUUCAUCUCCAACCUCCUCCACACUAUCCUCCCAUCGGUUUGUCUGAUCUGCGAGCACAAGGAGUAAAGAAUCGAUCGAAAUCUAUUUUUCCUCUUCUAAUUCUACGCAGGAUAAAAAGGUACGCUUCGAUCUUAGCUUUUUUGUCCAUGUACGGUCGGUUGUCACUUGUUACUUGUUAGAGUCGAUUUCUACUUUUUUUUUCGUUUUCGUUUUCGUUGUUGCGAAGUCCCUGUUGAUCCACGAAACCACGACGGAUAAUGGUUCCGUGGAUCGUUAAGCCAAGGCGGAGAUCCGUGAGUUGUGUGGAAGCCUUGAGGAGAAAUGGGUAGGUGUAGUUGUUGGGUGUGUAACCUUGUGAGAGCAUCUGACGGUAGAGAACAACUGCUUGGGAGGGAAAUGGACUGUGAGCGUAUCCUCUGAUCAUGGAAUUCCAUAUGAAUACGUUGAGAGGUUGUCUGAUCUGCGAGAACACGGCUUUCGUGUAACUGAGAUUAAUGCUUUUGUCCGAUAAUGCUAUCUUAGAUACCAACUUUCCGGCGGUGAGUUUGUCAUGUAUCUCUCCGUUGGUUAUAAGCCUGGCGUGGAGCUGUCUCAGACAUUUGGACAUCUAAGAGUCAUAUGAGAAGAAGAAAAGAACAUUUCUGUUUACUAUUUAUAAUUUUAUAUCAUCUCAAUAAAUUAUAGUUAAUAAAUUGGACUAUUAUAUAAAUAGCCAUAAAAUAAAUUGUAGACGUAACAGAACAUCGUUCUUUUUAAAACAGAAUCUUCAUUUUCCAUACGGCCAUCUAGGGAUUGUUUGAUAUUUUUUUUACCUUUUCCAUAUCGGCGCUGCCCGUCUUUUGAUUAACAUCACACUGUUGAUCUGUUUUGCGAUUUCUACACGGUUGGUUGAUUACAGGUGUGUUCUCUUCCUGUCCCCCGAUUUCUUGGUGAGAUUUCUUUCAUUCCAAAAAUUGAGGGGGUCGCCCCCUGAUAACAUUAGUUGGCCGCUCCCAAUUUAGAAAACUGUCUGUUCUUGGUAUAAUUGGUAUUACUAUUGAAUCAUUCACCCUUUAGGCCUCAAUAUAUAUAUACUUAUUAACUCUCCCUAAUUCCUAUCUCUAAUAGUCUAAUCUUUUAUUUAUCUUUCUGUAAGACUUUUAAUUUGCUUUUAUCUUAAUCAAAUACCCCACUUAAAAAAUGAAAAAAAAUAGAUUAGAAUUGUAUUAAUCUAAAUACUUUAUUUAUGCUUUAUGAAUUAUUAUAAUUUAUUUAUACUUAUAAAAUGUAAAUUAUUAUUUUUAGCAGAGCACUACAUCUCUAUUUUUUAACAGAACACUACAUAAAAUGAAUCAUGAUUACAAGACACGUGUAUUUCUAUUUUUUAGGGAACGGAUACAUCUCAAUAUNNN
rnacentral:lncRNA from 1 species